rnacentral:misc_RNA from 1 species
UCUCCGUAGGUGAACCUGCGGAAGGAUCAUUAUUGUAUAACCGAGAUGCGAGGGCUGUCGCUGACCCGAAAGGUCGUGCACGCCCGAGUGCCCUCACACACAUCCAUCUCACCCCUAUGUGCACCACCGCGUGGGUCCCCCUUUGGCUUGUUCGGAGGGGGGCUUACGUUUUCACACAAACUUUGUAUGCAGUGUAGAAUGUAUUUUUUGUUUUUGCGAUCACGCAAUCAAUACAACUUUCAACAACGGAUCUCUUGGCUCUC